AUGCAUACGCUAAUCAGGCAUACAGCAGAACGACUGGCUUUGAAAAUGACCAGCAGUUGGGAAUUGAAAAUAGUCAGCCCAUUUAUGAACGAAUAGGUAAAGGCAUCUAAAGUCAACAAUGGCUGUCAUGAAUUUGGAAUAGGACGUAUCCAUGAAUGCUCCGAGGACACGUCAAAUGAUGUUGUACGGUUGAAACGAAAAACAUAGACAUAUCUUUAUUUAUACAUAUCAACUAACUUACUCGUUUUAUUUUAUAUGUUUAUAAAG